rnacentral:rRNA from 1 species
ACAGAGGUCCCAAGCGUUGUUCGGAUUCACUGGGCGUAAAGGGUGCGUAGGCGGGCUAGUAAGUCAGGGGUGAAAGCCUGCGGCUCAACCGCGGAACUGCCCUUGAUACUGCAAGUCUUGAGUCCUGGAGGGGCUGGCGGAAUUCGUGGUGUAGCGGUGAAAUGCGUAGAUAUCACGAGGAACACCGGAGGUGUAGACGGCCAGCUGGACAGGUACUGACGCUGAGGCACGAAAGCGUGGGGAGCUAACAGGA